UGAGGGUCUUCUCUGGUGAUGCUCUGCUGAGUUUCUAAUGCAGCCAACUUCAGCUCCUGCUUGUUUCUGGGGCUUCUCCCCUGCAGUUUUCUCUUCAGCAUAUGGAAGGCCUUCUCAAUUGGAUUUAAGUCAGGUGACUGGCUUGGCAUUCAAGAAAUUUUCCAUUCUUUAGCUUUGAUAAACUCCCGUGUUUCCUCAGCAGUCUGUUUGGCUUAUUAUCUUGUUGGAGGAUGAAGCGCCGUCCAGUGAGUUUGGAGGCAUCUACAGGAACUUGGGCAGAUCAGAUGUUUCUACACACCUUAGAGUUCAUUGUGCCGUCAGCAGUUCCAUCAUCAGUGAAGAGAAGUGUGCCAGGACCUGUGGCUGCCAUACAUGCCCAAGCCAUAACAUUUCCACCACCAUGUUUAACAGAUGAGGUGGUCUGCUUUCGAUCUUGGGCAGUUCCUUUUCAUCUCCACACUUUACUCUCGCCAUCACUCUGAUGAGGUUCAUCUUUGUCUCAUCUGUUCACAAGACCUUUUCCCAGAAUUCUGCAGGCUCUUUGAUGUCCUUUUUCACAAACUGUAAUCUGGCCAUCCUGAUUUUGUGACUAACUAGUGGUCUUCAUCUUGUAGUGUGUCCUCUGUGUUUCUGUUCAUGAAGUCUUCUUCUGAUAGUCGUCUCUGACACGUCCACAUCGGCCCCCUGAAGACUGUGUCUGAUCUGUCGGAGAGAUGUUUGGGGCUUUUUCUUGACGAUAGUGAGGAUUCUUCUUUCAUCAGCAGUGGAGGUCUUCCUUGGCCUACCAGUCCUUUUGUGAUUACUGAGCUCACCAGUGCCUUCUUUCUUCUUCAUGAUAUUCCAGAUCGCUCAUUUCAGUCAUUCUAAGGUUUUGCUUAUAUCUCUAAUGGUUUUAUUCUUGUUUCUCAGCCUCAUAAUGGCUUCUUUGACUUUCAUUGGCACAGCUCUUGUCUUCAUAUUGAACAUUGGCGACUACAGACUCCAAAGGGUAGAAGCAGGCCGAGGUAUCUUAUGAAGCCACGAAACCCACCUGAGGAAUCACAAACACCUGAGAUGCCAAUUGUCCCAAACAUUACAGUGCCCUGAAAUGGGGCGACCAUGUAGAAAAAGUGUUGUGAUGUGACCGAAAUGUC